AAACAAUUGUGUAAGCCAUCUCUUUUGACCACAUUGUGGAACUUCAUUCUUUCCUCAGGAUGGAAUACACAGCAAUAAGCUUCUUUUCUUUGGACCAGUGUUGAUCUCUAGAAAAGCAUAAUUUCUUUUUGUUUAUUGGAUGCAAAUAAAUUUUAUUACAAGUUCUAAUAUUUUUCUGUAUCCUAAAUGGAAUGAUGACCUGUCCACUUUGGAGACCAUCAUUCCACAUAGCCAGAGGAUGAGGAUAUAAAAGGAAGACUGGAAAAAUGAAGAGAGCUACUUGGUUCUUGCAUAGAACUACAGAAGCCUGGGGAAUAGGGAAACAAUGGUUGCCUCCGAGAGAAGGAACUCAGAGGCACCACACUUAGUUUUCAAGGCCAUGUGCAAGCUAUCUCUGAGCAAAUGGGACAUUUUUGAACCUUUGUCAAGCAACAUGCUGCAGAUAACAAAAUGUACAUGCUGGGACUGAUGAAAUUCUGCAAAGGAACAAUGCAAUGAAUGUCAACAUAGGAUACUACUGCUUCUAAUGAGUAGAGAAUUCCACAAGACUGGCUGCCAUCUUGUCCAUGUAGCUUUUUUGGCUUGGAAAAGUGUCUCCUAUAUAUGUAACUGCACUUCAAAAAGAAAUAUUUGAAAGUACAGAAAGACAUAAAAUUAAAAGUGAGUUUUCCUAUCAACUCCUCCUGCUGCUUUCUUCCAUAAAACUAAAUACUAACCUUUCUAUUAAUCUAUCAACAAUAAAUAUUUCUACUGGCUUCCA
rnacentral:lncRNA from 1 species